GAUGAACGCUAGCGGCAGGCCUAAUACAUGCAAGUCGAACGGUGUCUUCGGACAUAGUGGCGCACGGGUGCGUAACACGUAUGCAACCUACCUUACAUUGGGGGAUAGCCUUUCGAAAGGGAGAUUAAUACCGCAUAAGACAGUAACUAGGCAUCUAGUAGCUGUUAAAGAUUUAUCGAUGUAAGCUGGGCAUGCGUCCAAUUAGCUAGUUGGUGAGGUAACGGCUCACCAAGGCAAUGAUUGGUAGGGGAACUGAGAGGUCAAUCCUCCGCACUGGCACUGAGAUACGGGCCAGACUCCUACGGGAGGCAGCAGUAGGGAAUAUUGGGCAAUGGACGCAAGUCUGACCCAGCCAUGCCGCGUGCAGGAUGAAGGCGUUAUGCGUUGUAAACUGCUUUUAUACAGGAAGAAACGACUCUUGCGAGAGGCAUUGACGGUACUGUAUGAAUAGGCACCGGCUAACUCCGUGCCAGCAGCCGCGGUAACAC
rnacentral:rRNA from 1 species